UGGGGAAUCUUGGACAAUGGGGGAAACCCUGAUCCAGCAAUGCCGCGUGUGUGAAGAAGGCCUGCGGGUUGUAAAGCACUUUCAGUAGAGAAGAAAAGCUCAGGGUUAAUACCCCUUGAGUCUUGACGUUACCUACAGAAGAAGCGCCGGCUAACUCCGUGCCAGCAGCCGCGGUAAUACGGAGGGUGCAAGCGUUAAUCGGAAUUACUGGGCGUAAAGGGCGCGUAGGCGGCUGUUUAAGUCGAGGGUGAAAGCCCGGGGCUCAACCCCGGAACGGCCUUCGAGACUGGGCAGCUCGAGACCGGAAGAGGAGGGUGGAAUACCCAGUGUAGAGGUGAAAUUCGUAGAUAUUGGGUGGAACACCAGUGGCGAAAGCGGCUCUCUGGUCCGGAUCUGACGCUGAGGCGCGAAAGCGUGGGGAGCAAACAGGAUUAGAUACCCGUGUAGU
rnacentral:rRNA from 1 species